GUCUGGGUUCGGCGAGCUUCUUAGAGGCUGCGGUCCCUUCCUGUCGGUUUGGAUGCUUGCCGCGGAAUCUAUCCUUGAGGCAAUAAAGAUGUGGCAGAGGCCCCGAGGUUAAUCUGAAGAAGAGAAUAGAAGCAGCCAAGGAGGAUGCUGUUGAACCAGUUAGGAGGCUAUUGCAAGAGAUCCUAGCAAGAGACAAUGAUGAUGUGGACUUGGGAAAUGGCAGAGGAGAUGCAGACAAGUGUCCAGAUUUCAGAGAUGAAAAAACGUCCUCAAAGAGAAACGUUUUGCCAUUGUG